rnacentral:tRNA from 1 species
GGGGUUGUAGUUUAAUUACAACAUUUAAUUUGCAAUUAAAAAAUACUAUAAAAUUAGUCCUCCUCA